UCCUCCUAGAUGACCUAGGAGGCCGCUGGGCGGCGAGACCCGCCUUUUACACAAUGAUAUGAAAAAACAUUCUCCACGGUCCGGUGGCUAGCACCCACCGUAAAAUCUGGGUUCGAAUCUCAAUAAAAACCGAAGGCAAAGGGCUUCUCCUGGUUAUCAUUCGCCAAAACCCUAGUCCAUCUGUCGAUCUGGUCGUCCCUUCCCCUAGAGCUUCUAAUUCGUCUCCGAAUACCCCGGUCAGCUACCUCCUCUACUCUCCCUUCCGUUUCCCUACUCCUUUCCCAGCUCCGACAACCCUAGUUCAUUCGGUUUCUAAUCCAGGUUUUCCUGUGUUGUUGAUUGCGCAAGUCCGGAACUUUCUUGGCAGAAAAAAUCUUCAUUCUAAAUUAGUUUCUGAACUAAAUAUGUGUUGACUUUGAAUGCAGUAGGAAUCUUAAUAUUUUAUUGUAAUCCUUCCUAUGUCUAAGCUCAAUCUUCGUACUCUUUGUUGGAAUUAAAAAUCUGAACUCCAUUUCAUUUUUUUCCUUUUGGGAUCUGAUGCGGAAUUCAUGUCCAUCUUCUUUCAUGUUGAAAAGAACAACUUUUUACAAAUGAGGUGCAUGGGCUUGGUUAUGCUAUUCGAUAUCUAAUGUUACUGAUGGCGUACAAGAUGUCUAGACCUGAGCUAAGAACCUCAACAAUGCAUUUUAAUCAAGUUAGUAUUCAUGGGAUUGCUGCCUUGACACCUGCAAAGGACAUAAAGCUGUUGGUAUCAUGAAAGCCGGGCAGACAUUUACAAUAUAACCAAUGAUCAAUGCAGAUGGAUGGACUGCAGUUACUGCAGAUGGUAAACGAAGUGCUCAAUUUGAGCACACUCUUUUGUUGAGUAGUGAGCCUUUAUAUUGUUGAUGUUGGAAAUGUGAAUGGAAUAAAGAGAUGGAGACGAAGAGACUAUUGUGCAUGAGUUUAGUCCCA